AUGCCGAUGCCGGCGCCCGCGGGGACCGGGUGGCCGCGCCAGGGCGAGCACGCCGCGCGGUACCGGCAGCGCGAGGAGUACGCGGCGCGGCGGGCGCUGUUCCUGCAGACCUACCGGCUGUCCGCCCCCGGCGAGGAGGACGAGGAUGAGGCCGCGGCAACGGGGCUGCGCGGGCGGGCGGCGCGUCUGGUGCGCGAGGCCAGGGUCGCCGGGAGGGCCGCGGCCGCGCGUGCGGCGUGCCGGGCGUGGGAAGCUGGCAGGGCCUCGGCCGCCGGCGCGGCGUCCCGUGCGCGGUCGUGGCUCGGGGCGGGGCUGGGCAGGGCGUGGCGCGGGUGGACGCGGAGGCCCCUGCCGCGCGUGCACGGCCACCGCCACCUCCACCAUCGGUCCUUGCUCGGCUGUUUCGGCGGGAGCCUGAAGCCUCGAUCAACCCAGCGCUACGCACGAGCAGCAGCACCCCAGUCCCCAGACACUGCGGCCGCGCGUACGCGACGUGGCCGGCCGGGUCGGGUGACCAUGAGCACCAGCGCGGCGUCCUCCUCCUCCUCCCCGCCGCUGACGCCGCCGUCCCCGCUGCCGGUCAGCGUCGGCCCGGGACGCCGGCCGUACGCAUUCACGCCGUCCCCGUCCGCGUCGCCGCCCUUCUCUCCGCGUGACUUCGACGCCUCACCGUCGCCGUCGCCGCUGCUAGCACGGCGGGCGGUGCGGUCCGAGCCGCGGCUGCUGCAUUACUCCGCCUUCUCCAUGGACGCCGCCGCGUCCGCUCGUCGGGAGCAGCCGCCGAGAAGACGGUUCGAUCUCGGAGCAUGGUGUUUUGAGUGGGUGUUGAUGCUGGUGCGCUGCUGCUGCUGCUCUUGGAGGCCGGCGUCCAGGCAGCAGCUCUGCUAG
rnacentral:rRNA from 1 species